rnacentral:rRNA from 1 species
GUGUCAGCAGCCGCGGUAAUACGUAGGGGGCAAGCGUUGUCCGGAAUCAUUGGGCGUAAAGAGCGUGUAGGCGGCCAGAAAAGUCCGCUGUGAAAACUCGAGGCUCAACUUCGAGCUGUCGGUGGAAACUUUCUGGCUAGAGUCCGGAAGAGGAGAAUGGAAUUCCUGGUGUAGCGGUGAAAUGCGCAGAUAUCAGGAAGAACACCCGUGGCGAAGGCGGUUCUCUGGGACGGUACUGACGCUGAGACGCGAAAGCGUGGGGAGCGAACAGGAUUAGAUACCCUAGUAGUCC